CAUGUAUUUGCGUGUAUGCAUAUUAUUAUGUUCUAUGCAGAUCUAGAAGAGUUUUAUUUUAUUUGUGAGCUUUUCAUUGCCUUUGAUAUCUGGGAUAAUGGUAAGAAUUUAAUUUAGUAUGCAUCAAAUUAGUUUUGUAUAUGCACAGAUUUCUGCUGAACAUUUAUGGAUAUUACAUGCAUGUAUUUGCGUGCAAGCAUUUCUUAUAUUUUACAGAGAUCUGGAAGGGUUGAAGAAGAGAUUGAACUGCUUUAGCUCAAGCUGAAGCAUAUUGACGAAGGUAUAGCUUUCAGUGGAAGGGGGGAAAGACAGCUAGAUCUCAAGGGAAGAAGGUUCAAAUAACUGUCAAACAGGAAAUUUCAAGAAUACCUGGGAACUUGGCCUGGGCUUACUUGCAGCAAAAACCGAGGAACAUUACAGAGUGCUAAAGGAUUAUAGUCUUCCUGCAUGCUUCCACCUCAACUUGUCAAACUUCCUCACCUCUAAGAAAU